AUAGCCGACAAAUUGUGUUUACUAUAUUUGCCCCAGGACUAGCAAGGUGGAACUAGGUAAAGACAAACGAUACUGGUAGCGGUAACCAGUAUAGUGCGUAGCAAAAUCGAACACACUGCCCAAAAUGAGAUUCAAAUAAUCAUAUCAAGUAGAGUGUUCGAACACAAAGAGUAAAAAAGUCCUUCGUCUUUUACCUUAGGGAUUUUCAAUACUUUCUAGGCAUAUAAAUUUCAACCAGGCCGUUUGUAUUUCUAUAGAAUUGUUAGCGUUGAUCGUUUUAUAAGGAAAGAUAACUCAGGCUGUUGAUGUCAAUAAACUUACUUCUCGCAUAUCCUGUCUUCUCUGUGGUUGCAGCGAAUUCGAUAAGCCUAAUAGCGUUUUAGAAACAGCCUCAGUGGCUCCAAUCAUGGGCUGUAGAACAAUUAAUGGCACUUUUCUACCUACUGUUUGAGCAACACCACCAAGGGAUUUAUGGCUGCGGGUCUCUCGAGGAAGACCCAUCAAAGUGGAUUUGGCACCGAGUAAUCCCUGUUUCAAACCAGAAUAACCUUGUCUCAACCCUUGCUCUAUUGUUUCAGGUUGUUCAGCGUAAUAACUUCUGGCUCUGGACGCAGAUGCAGAAGCAUUGCUUCCUCUUUCUAAAUAACUUUCGGCUUGACGAAGAAGAGAAUGCGUACCGGUAGCACCUUGCGCAUUUAAAGACAGAAAGUCGUUCACGUACUUUUCAGUAAAUUUAAUUAUACCAUGCCGGAAACUACCGACUGAAUGGUUUCCUUGCAAGCCCCGAACUGGACUUACAAAAAUGUCUUUAAUGCCUCUUCCUACAGUAAACAUUGUUCGAAUCGGCACUACACCAUUCAGAACUUUUGAGAGUUGAUUGUUUCGGAUAUCUUGCAACCAAACGUUAAGAAGGGCAUUAAGGAAUUCUUCUGCACCAGAAAGUCCAUAAAUUUGUAAUUGACGCAAGAAAACCUCCGAACCUUGCAUAACAAUCAAGCUGCCUAAAUCAGGAAGCUUUCCGCUUCUCAAUCCUACCUUAUCAGCUGAUUUGAAUUUAAAAUCGAUAGUUACAUGAGUAGCAUUUAUGCAGAUGGAUUGAAAAAACGGUAGAUCAGGUUCGGUGUUUAACGUUUCAGAGGAACUAGGAGUUUGAAAAGUAAGAAAACGUAUUAAAAAAUCCAAAGUAUCUUGGUCAAUAUACAUUUUACAAGGCAGAACGCUAAAUUCCAACCUCAAUUCUCUGUUAUUUAGUUCAGGUAACGGUCGCACAGUAACAAUUUGAGCAUUCAUGUGCUGAUUACGAUUCUUGGAAGACGGAGAUCUGGAAUCUCGUCCAAAAAAUUUAUUCCAGGUUGAGGUUGAUAGAUGGUCAUAUAUAAUUAAGUCCUUCAGACCAAUAUCUAAAUCGUUCAGUACUGCGUUAGGUUCAUUACUGUCAGCAUAUACAGUAAAAGAGCCCUGUAAAUCUUUAAUUUCUAUUCCAAUCUUUUUGCUUUUUGACUUCCCCAAGCGUAAAUGGUACGAAAUAGAUUUCGAUAAAUAAUCAGCAAAUUCAUCAGAAUCGAUUGGUUCAGAUACAUGAUUGAUAUUUAAUCUUCCCACUUUCGAAAAAGACUUGAUGACUAUGCUUUGAAACAAUAAGGUUUUCGCUUCAGGAGAAAUUUUAUCAUUUUGACUAGAAGA